rnacentral:rRNA from 1 species
AUUGAGCGCUGGCGGCAUGCCUUACACAUGCAAGUCGAACGGUAACAGGUCUUCGGAUGCUGACGAGUGGCGAACGGGUGAGUAAUGCAUCGGAACGUGCCCAGUUGUGGGGGAUAACUGCUCGAAAGAGCAGCUAAUACCGCAUACGACCUUAGGGUGAAAGCGGGGGAUCACAAGACCUCGCGCAAUUGGAGCGGCCGAUGUCAGAUUAGGUAGUUGGUGGGGCAAAGGCCGACCAAGCCGACGAUCUUUAGUUGGUCUGAUAGGACGACAUGCCAAACGGGGACGGCGACACAGCCCAGGCUCCUACGGGAGGCACCAGGGGGGAAUUUUGGACAAUGGGCGCAAGCCGGAUCCAGCAAUGCCGCGUGCAGGAAGAAGGCCUUCGGGUUGUAAACUGCUUUUGUCAGGGAAGAAAUCCUCUGGGUUAAUACCCCGGGGGGAUGACGGUACCUGAAGAAUAAGCACCGGCUAACUACGUGCCAGCAGCCGCCGUAACAC